rnacentral:lncRNA from 10 species
UUCCUCUUCUGUCGGGAGGCCAUCAGAAAAGGACAACUAGAAAAGGGAGGUGGAGGUGGAAGCAAGCUGCCACCGGAGUCAUUAACUGGUUGGAUGUUCUCUCUGCAAUCCUCUGCUUCAGGACUCAAAACUUCCUCCUCAUUCCCAUCCUGUCACUUGCAGCAGAAACUAUUGCCUUGGGACUUGCCAGAGACCUGAAGAUUCCUGAACUCAAGGUGGGGCAUUGCCUUUGAGGAACUGAAGCCACGUAACUGAAUAGGCUAGUCUUGGUUUUCAGAAUGUGAGCCAUAGAACCAGGAUAAUGCAUUAGUCAUGGUCCAUUGAGCUAAUACAAAAGUACUCAAGUAUAUUCCAAAAUAUAUUUUUCUAUAUCUGAAGAUAAUUUGAGUCUGUAGACACCCAUUAAACCUAUAAAGUAUGCACCCACUGCCAAUGCGAUUGACCUAUCGGAAAGAUGUGUACUUGGGAGCGUAGGCAUGCAUCUUUGCAAGUGUGGAGGUGUGUUGGUUAUCAUGAGUGAGAACUGGUGAGUGGGAUUCAGAGCCUGAGUCCUACCUGAGUAACUGGGAGACUGUGGUACUGUGCCUCCAAGGUGGCAUCCAUCAAUGCUUCCUUCCCUGUGUGCACAUCCAGAGAUGAGAUUGACGCCUCCUCUCCCCUUAGACAUGGCUGGACUUACCAACAUGCUUGGUAAGUCCAGAAUGCAGCUGUGUGACUUUGGGGAUUUGGAGGCUCGGUCACAGAAGUCGCAGCUUCCCCACGUGCCUCUUCGUCUGCUUGCUUUUGAACAUUUCCUCAUGGGCACCAGCCUUGAGGGCCAUGCUGUGAGAAGCUGAAGCCGCUGGAGAGGUCCCUGUAGAAGUGCAGAGACAGAGAGGAGCAGAGGACCCAGGAGGCACCGGAAGCAGGUGUGAGGAACCAUCUUGUAAGUGGAUCCUGCCCCACAUGACACUGUGAGAUUCAGAGAUGAAUGGCCCAGCCAAUUUCUUCCCAAAUUCCUAAACCAUACAAUUGUGAGCUAAAUAAAACUGUUGUUUUAAGUCACUA